rnacentral:lncRNA from 1 species
UGACAGGAUUUUCUCUUUUGGCUUCCAUUUCUUCUGUUUUCAUAACAGUGCUAACCUGCUCUUCCACAGAUUCAAGUUUGUUUGACACGAUUUUCAGGUGUUUCAUCUUCACAGGCUCAGGUGAUACAUGCCUCUUGCUGGAAGCAGCCCUUUUUUUCUCAGGUACAGGCUUCUCAUCUGUUGCUUCCUGCUUUGGUGCUAAAGAGCGCAAAGCCCUGGUUCUCACAAUGCUUCCAUCUCUUGCAGACUUCCUCUUCGGGGACAGCAAAGGGUUGCUUUUGCUUUGUAAUGUUGCAUGGUCUCUGGUGUCCACCAACACUUCCUUGGGGUCCUCUUUAGAGGCCCUCAGCACUCUUCUGCAUGUUCUCAGAGGUUUUACUGAGUCUGGCUUUUGCUGUUGAGUGCUCUUAAGGAUACUGGUGUCAUGUGCUAGUUUCUCAGAGUGAUCUGAUAUUUGGGUUAUUUCUUUGGAGUCACCUAACACUUCAAGAGGUUGAACCCCAUCCUUAUGUGUCCUUAGCUGCCUCCUGCUGCCAGUUACUUUGGCUACUGUAUCUAAUGUCUGCUUUAUGGAGGCCUUUGAAACUUGGGUACCAUUGUUACCAAUUUCAGGGACCUUGCGGGAUCGCAUAGUUUGCCUUGAUGUUGAUACUGUCUUUCUUACUGCUGAAGGCUCUUCAUCUGCCUCUACUUUCCCACGUCUUGUCCUGGGUCGCCUUGGUGAGCUUUGGAAGCUGUCAACUUGCUCUGGUUGUAGAGAAUUACAGGGCAUCUGUGUGGGUCCUUUAUCACUUGCUGAUUCAUCAGUGUGGCCUAGGGUUUGGAUUGGUCCUUUGAGACCAGCCAAUUCUAGGGCCUGUGCCUUUUCCUUGGGUACCCUCCGUGGCCUCUUGCUGACAGGCACACUUGCUACUGGAUCAAUUUUCUGCUUUGUAGACUUCUUAACCUCUUCAACAUUUAUACUGUCACCUACAGGCUCUUUGAGUGUGUUCCUGGUUUCCCUGGAUGGUUGCUUUCUCUGUGCUGUGGGCUCUUCUUUUACACCAUCGUUGAUUAGUUGUAUUCUGAGCUGCCUCUUUAAACCUGCUAAGGUUUCCUUCUCUUCCGGUUGUGGAGAUUUGGAAGAUAUUCUUUUGGCAGUUUCCUCUUGGAAACUGGUGAGUUCUUCUAAGGGUUGGGUUUUCUCCUUAACUGUCCUUGGUUGGUUCCUCCUGCCAGUUAAACUUACACUUGGGUCUUGUUUCUGUACUGAAGAUUCCUUAAACUCUUCCAUACCUUGAUUGUCACUUAUGGGCUCUUUCUGUGUGUUUCUGGUUUGCCUUACAACUCUUGUAGUCUUUCUUUGUGGUAUGGGCUCUUCAGUAACAACCAGUCUCCUGAGUCUUCUUCUUGCCUGUGUCUCUGAAGUUGUAUCCACAGGUUCUGGAGAUUUGUCGGGCAUCUUUGGGGUUUUCUCAACAAUAACUGAGUCCAUUACCAAGCUUGGAGCUUGGCAGAGCUCUUGGAAGCCAGGCAGAUCCUCUAGGGUCUUUUCUGCUCUUGUAAUUCUUUGCCUCUUACUGCGAGGCACAUUGACUUCUGUGUCCAAUUUCCGUUUUACAGAUUGCUUCCUUGUUUUAAUGACUUUGCCUUCACCUUCUGGUUCUCUAGGUAAGUCCACAAUUUCCCCUGAUAUUUGUGGAUGCAUUAUGCCUCCUGAAAGUUCAUUUUUCACGUGAACUUUCCUCAGACCAGUUCUGGCCUGUCUCCGUGAGGUUACUGAAGUGUCUGUUGGCUCUAGUGGUGGAGACGAGCUGGGCAGUUUUGCAAGAUUGUCCACUGUCACUGAAUCCUUGUUAUGGCCUGAUGUUUGGAAGACCUCCUGAACACCAGAGAGGUCUUCUGGGGACUGGGACCUUUUCUUACAUGACCUUUGCUGCCUCUUGCCACGAGUAACAUAUAUUGCUGGUUCCAAUUUCUGAGCUAACAAUACCUUCCCAUCUUUGGUCUCUCUGCCAUGAUCUUCUCCAAGUGUGAGGGUUUGCAUGACUUUCUGUGAUGCACAGCUUGACUUACUGAGCGGAGAGUGCCCUUCUCUCACAUCCAUCUUAUUGAGACCUGUCUUGGAAAGUCUCUUUGUGCUUGCCCGGGUUCUGACUGGUUCUGCUUGUGAAGAUUCCAAAGAUAUCUUUGCACUUUCUUCAACACUCACAGGGUUACUGGCACCAGCUGGUGUUUGGAAGAGUUCUUGGAAGCCAUCCAGGUCUUCUAGGGGCUGAGACCUGUUCUUAGAUGUUCGUGACCUUCUCUUACUCCCUGAUGAAUUCUCUGCAAAAUCCAGUUUCUGCUUUGGAGUUUCCAUGAAGGCUGUGCUGUCAUUUUCUUCCUGCACUGGUGCUGGUGUGCCUGGGGCUCUGCCUGGUGACUUUGUUUUUUUCCCAAGUGUUGAAGGGUCUUCUCUCACAUCCACCUUACUGAGACCUGUCUUGGAGAGUCUCUUUGUGCUUGCCGGGGUUUUGACUGGUUUUGCUUGUGAAGAUUCCAAAGACAUCUUUGCACUUUCCUCAACAGUCACUGAGUCACUAGCACCAGCUGGUGUUUGGAAGAGUUCUUGGAAGCCAUCCAGGUCUUCUAGGGGCUGAGCUCUGAUCUUAGGUGUCCGUGGCCUCCUCUUAUGUCCUGAUGAAUUUCCUGUGAAAUCCAGUUUCUGCUUUGGAGUUUCCAUGAAGGCUGUGCAGUCAUUUUCUUCCUGCACUGGUGCUGGUGUGCCUGGUGACUUUGUUUUUUUCUCAAGUAUUGAAGGGUCUUCUCUCACAUCCACCUUACUGAGACCUGUCUUGGAGAGUCUCUUUGUGCUUGCCGGGGUUUUGACUGGUUCUGCUUGUGAAGAUUCCAAAGACAUCUUUACACUUUCCUCAACAGUCACUGAGUCAUUGGCACCAGCUGGUGUUUGGAAGAGUUCUUGGAAGCCAUCCAGGUCUUCUAGGGGCUGAGCCCUGAUCUUAGGUGUCUGUGGCCUCCUCUUAUGUCCUGAUGAAUUUCCUGUGAAAUCCAGUUUCUGCUUUGGAGUUUCCAUGAAGGCUGUGCUGUCAUUUUCUUCCUGCACUGGUGCUGGUGUGCCUGGGGCUCUGCCUAGUGACUUCAUUCUUUUCCCAAGUGUUGAAGGUUCUUGUCUCACAUCCACUUUACUGAGACCUGUCUUGGAGCGUCUCUUUGUACUUGCUGGGGUUCUGACUGGUUCUGCUUGUGAAGAUGCCAAAGAUAUCUUUGCACUUUCUUCAACACUCACAGGGUCACUGGCACCAGCUGGUGUUUGAAAGAGUUCUUGGAAGCCAUCCAGGUCUUCUAGGCAUGGUGUGUUAUCCUUUGAAGAACAGCGCAUCCUCUUGCUGUUAGGCAUACCAGCUGUUGAAUCCAGUUUACGCUUUGCAGGUUUCCUAGAUGAUCUAAUGACUUUGUUGGUGGAUACCUGAAAUGUGUCUACACCUUCUCCUAAUUGUAGGUGUUCCUCUGAUUCUAAAAGUUCUUCUUUAACAUCUAUUUUACUUAUACUUGCCCUAGACUGUCUCUCUCUGCUCUUUCGGGUUAUGGCACUUUCUGGUUGUGGAGAAUUAAAGAACAUUUUUUUGGUUUUGACAACCACUAAUGGGCCAUUAGCAUGAUCUGGUAUUUGGAAACUAUCCUGGAAACCAGUGAUGUCUUUAGGUGUUCUGGACUGUUUCCUAAGCCCUGUUAAAUUUUCUAUAGACUCCAGUUUCUGCUUUGGAGUUUCCAUGUAGGCUGUGCAGUCAUUUUCUUCCUGCACUGGUGCUGGUGUACCUGGGGCUCUGCCUGGUGACUUUGUUUUUUUCCCAAGUAUUGAAGGGUCUUCUCUCACAUCCACCUUACUGAGAUCUGUCUUGGAGAGUCUCUUUGUGCUUGCCGGGGUUUUGACUGGUUCUGCUUGUGAAGAUUCCAAAGACAUCUUUGCACUUUCCUCAACAGUCACUGAGUCAUUAGCACCAGCUGGUGUUUGGAAGAGUUCUUGGAAGCCAUCCAGGUCUUCUAGGGGCUGAGCUCUGAUCUUAGGUGUCCGUGGCCUCCUCUUAUGUCCUGUUGAAUUUCCUGUGAAAUCCAGUUUCUGCUUUGGAGUUUCCAUAAUGGCUGUGGUGCCAUUUCCUUCCUGCAUUGGUGCUGGUGUGCCUGCGUCUCUGCCUCGUGACUGUGUUUGUUUCUCAAGUAUGGAAAGUUCUUUCAUAUCCACUUUCAUGAGACUCAUCUUAGACCGUCUCUUUGUGCUUGCCGGGGUUUUGACUGGUUCUGCUUGUGAAGAUUCCAAAGAUAUCUUUGCACUUUCCUCAACAGUCACUGAGUCACUGGCACCAGCUGGUGUUUGGAAGAGUUCUUGGAAGCCAUCCAGGUCUUCUAGGGGCUGAGACCUGUUCUUAGAUGUUCGUGACCUUCUCUUACUCCCUGAUGAAUUCCCUGCAAAAUCCAGUUUCUGCUUUGGAGUUUCCAUGAAGGCUGUGCUGUCAUUUUCUUCCUGCACUGGUGCUGGUGUGCCUGGGGCUCUGCCUGGUGACUUCGUUCUUUUCCCAAGUGUUGAAGGUUCUUGUCUCACAUCCACUUUACUGAGACCUGUCUUGGAGAGUCUCUUUGUGCUCGCUGGGGUUCUGACUGGUUGUGUGUGUGGAGAUUUGCUGGGAAUUUUUUUGAUUAUGUUAGUAGGAACUGGUGAUAUAAAGAGUUCCUGGAAACAAGUCAGGUCUUCCAGGGGCUGAGCCUUUUUUUUAGAUUUUUCUAAAGUCCUCUUGCUUCCAUUUACUGUUGAGGUCAGCAUUUCAUUUUCAGAUUGCUUCAAAGCUUUGAUAUCCUCACACUCAAGUUUUAAAAUUUUGGGAUUAUGCCUGGAUUCCCCUGGCAUAUGUAUACGUUUUGUCAAGGCAGAG